rnacentral:lncRNA from 1 species
UCAGUUCCUGCUGGAAAGAUGGCAUCAAGAACAGAGAUGGGACAAAGUAAUUAUCAGUUCUCACCACUAGCCAAGGAACUUUGUGAAGGAAAAGCUGGUCUUCAUCACAGAAGAAAAGCUUAUCAUCAUCAUCAUAGUCAUGGGCCAGGUGAAGAUACACAAAAGAUGGCACCUUGGAAUUUUUUAUUGAUUUUUUCUUCAGCAUUUUCCCAUGACAAUGAUCAGAAUUCUGAUUGAAACUAGGAAACUGAUCGUUAAGAGGGAAAUCAGGAGGGAGAAACCAAGAAACAUCUGGGAAGGGCUCACAGAAGAGAUCAACCAUAUCAACUCCAGGAUCAACCAACAGAACACGGUUUGUGAGGACAGCAUAGAGAAAUGCAGAGGCUAAGGUCAAAAUCCUAUUCCCUAAACCACUAUAUGAAAUCCAAACUACAUAUUUACAUGGUGGGGACUCAGUUAAAUGACCAGACCUUAGAUCUUUCACUGUUUUGUUAUAGGAUUCAGUGUAAGGUCCACAUUGUUUGUGGAGAGCUUCAUAUCUUCUUAAUCUAGAAAUGAGGUAUGAAGAAGGAUUUGCUGAUAGCCCUUUGUGAUUUUGAUACCUGCUGAGACAAGAUCUUUCAUCAAAUCCAGAUGCAGCUAGAAGGCCACCAAGUAAUUUAUCUUGCGGCAACUGAAAGGAAUCAAAGGCAUCACUGUUCAAACCUACAAGCCACACAGAAGAUAAAAUUCCACCAUUAUUAUAAGACCAUGAGUGGCCAGGAAGCAAAGCAAACGUCAAGAACGAAAAAUUUGGAGACAGGAAAUUCAGUUGAUCCAUUCAUUAACAAAAAGAAAGAAAGGUAAAACAUGAAACACAAGUUGAUCAAAUGCUCCCUAGCAAGAGAAUCAAAUGCAGAAAUUGGAAAAUUCAUAUGCCGAAAAUAGCCAUUCUUCUGUACUCUCAGUUUUAGCUAUUGUUGCGUUCUGUUAAAGUCAUAGAAGUAACUAACUUAAGCUCUCACUGCUACUCCCACCAAUUGCAGUUAGAAAAUCAAGGUUUUAGAGUUCUGGUCAAUCCUAUGAGGUCACAUCAACUGCAAAUAUUAGUAAUUUUUCUAACAGCAUUAAGAAUCGCAACUUAACCACAACCUCAGCUGUUGAUAAAAUAAGCGAGCAGACAAUGGAAACUUACGAUUAUGGAAAAUGAUGGCAACCAUCAUUUCAAAAUGGAAAACAUUAGAUGGUUAUGAUAGUUAGAGAGACUGUUUUGUAAAAAGUGAUCAUGAGGUUAUGUUUGGAUACCGGUUAGCAUUAAGGUAAACAAAUUUUAACAUUUUGAACUAAAGAGUAAACGUGUAUUGAGAUGAAAGUCCGUUGACAUUGUUGUCCUGUUAUCCAAACAUACACCAAGUAAUGUACUGUUUUUCAAAGCAAUUCAAUCUGAAAGAAAGAUAUUCUGAUAACAGUAAGGUGCUAGUAUAUUAUGAACCCAAUAACUGUGAAACAAUGAUGGCACUUAAAAAGUUCUAUUUUAUGGUUGCUAUAGGGAAAGAAAAAAAAAAUCAACAACUAAUUCUAUCAUACAACAAAAUUGGCAGUACUUCUAACAGAGUUUCGACAGUCAUGGCAUUCAUGACUAUAAUAAUGACUAGUUAACCAUGAUUAUCUACGAGCUUUAGACCCCAGCUCAUAUCCUCACAAUGCCUUACAUGCGGAACGAGCGCACCGGUGUCAGUUCCUCUUUUAGCCUUGCAAUCAUAGAAGGGAGGAGCAUGGAAGCAUGGUUCCAUCGACAUGGCGCGUUGACAAGGAGGGUCAGGGGCUGUUCCAUUCUCAGGCUUGUAGAGUAUCCAUGGUUUUAAACCUCCAAGCCCCUGCGCGACGUAACCGAAAGUAGACCAUGAGCUAGUGACUAACAUGUCAGUUAAGCUCAAGAGAUACAUUUCUGCCCAAGCUUUUUGGUUGUGCAUCUGCUUCUCUGUUUGCUGAUAUUCCUCAUGGCUUGGCUGGUAAAUGCCCACAACUUCUCCUGUCACAGUGGGAUAUUCCCAGUACAUGUCUCUCACCAUUUCAGAAUAACCCGAGCUUAAGGAUGUCAUCAGCACCGCUUUUGACUUCGGCUUCCCUGAUGAACUGAUAAUAUUCUGACCCCUGCUAACAUCAGGCAAAAUAUUCUCCUUCAAAGCACAAGCUAUGAUCUGAUCCAGUAUAUGUUGAAAUGGGCCACUUCCAGUGUCAAACACUCUGAUCUGGAUGCCUACUCUUUCAUCAGCACUAGCUAAAUAAGGUUGGUAGUAUCUGAGAACAAGUCCCCAUACUGUGUUGGUGGGGUGGAAUAGAUAUCUGCCUAAGAAAUGGAAAACUGUUUCCUUGUUUGGAAAUAAGUCACUCAGUUCCUGCUGGAAAGAUGGCAUCAAGAACAGAGAUGGGACAAAGUAAUUAUCAGUUCUCACCACUAGCCAAGGAACUUUGUGAAGGAAAAGCUGGUCUUCAUCACAGAAGAAAAGCUUAUCAUCAUCAUCAUAGUCAUGGGCCAGGUGAAGAUACACAAAAGAUGGCACCUUGGAAUUUUUUAUUGAUUUUUUCUUCAGCAUUUUCCCAUGACAAUGAUCAGAAUUCUGAUUGAAACUAGGAAACUGAUCGUUAAGAGGGAAAUCAGGAGGGAGAAACCAAGAAACAUCUGGGA